AGUGCAAUUGCUGGAUCAUAUAGUAAGAGUAUUUAUAAUUUUGUAAGAGACUGCCAAACUGCUUUCCAAAGUGGCCGUACCAUUUUGUAUUCCCACCAGCAAU
rnacentral:pre_miRNA from 1 species